UACGGGGGGGGUAAGCGUUGUUCGGAAUUACUGGGCGUAAAGGGCUCGUAGGUGGCCAACUAAGUCGGACGUGAAAUCCCUCGGCUUAACCGGGGAACUGCGUCCGAUACUGGUUGGCUUGAGUUUGGGAGAGGGAUGCGGAAUUCCAGGUGUAGCGGUGAAAUGCGUAGAUAUCUGGAGGAACACCGGUGGCGAAGGCGGCAUCCUGGACCAACACUGACGCUGAGGAGCGAAAGCCAGGGGAGCAAACGGG
rnacentral:rRNA from 1 species